rnacentral:siRNA from 1 species
CAGAUUCAGGUUCAAAUUGAUAGG